rnacentral:rRNA from 1 species
CCCCGCAGUAACGCCUGCUUACCAUGCAAGUCGAACGAUGAAGCCCUUCGGGGUGGAUUAGUGGCGAACGGGUGAGUAACACGUGGGCAAUCUGCCCUGCACUCUGGGACAAGCCCUGGAAACGGGGUCUAAUACCGGAUAUGACACGGGAUCGCAUGAUCUUCGUGUGGAAAGCUCCGGCGGUGCAGGAUGAGCCCGCGGCCUAUCAGCUUGUUGGUGAGGUAGUGGCUCACCAAGGCGACGACGGGUAGCCGGCCUGAGAGGGCGACCGGCCACACUGGGACUGAGACACGGCCCAGACUCCUACGGGAGGCAGCAGUGGGGAAUAUUGCACAAUGGGCGAAAGCCUGAUGCAGCGACGCCGCGUGAGGGAUGACGGCCUUCGGGUUGUAAACCUCUUUCAGCAGGGAAGAAGCGAAAGUGACGGUACCUGCAGAAGAAGCGCCGGCUAACUACGUGCCAGCAGCCGCGGUAAUACGUAGGGCGCAAGCGUUGUCCGGAAUUAUUGGGCGUAAAGAGCUCGUAGGCGGCUUGUCACGUCGGUUGUGAAAGCCCGGGGCUUAACCCCGGGUCUGCAGUCGAUACGGGCAGGCUAGAGUUCGGUAGGGGAGAUCGGAAUUCCUGGUGUAGCGGUGAAAUGCCCAGAUAUCAGGAGGAAGCACCGGUGGCGGAAAGCGGAUCUCUGGGCCGAUACUCACACUGAGGAGAGAAAACGUGGGGAGAGAACACAAGUAGAUACCCCUGGUAGACCACGCCGUAAACGGUGGGCACUAGGUGUGGGCAACACUUCCACGUUGUUCCGUGCCGCACAUAUCGCACUAUGUGUGCCGCCUGGGGAGUGCGCGCGCAAGAGUAUAACUCAAAGGAAUUGUCGGGGGGCCGCACAAACGCCGGAGCAUAUGUGUUAAUUUGACGCACCGCGAAGAGCCUUUUCAAGACUUGACAUACACCGGAAAGCAUCAGAGAUGGUGUCCCCCUUGUGUUCGGGGUACAGGUGGUGCAUGUCUGUCUUCACAUCGUGUCGUGAGAUAUUGGGUUAAAUCUCGCACCGAGCGCACCCCUUUUGUCGUGUUUCCACCAAAACCUUCGGGGUGUUGGGGACUCUCGGGAGACCGCCGGGGUCACCUCGGAGGAAGAUGGGGGCGACGUCAAAUCAUCAUACCCCUUAUAUCUUGGGCUGCACACGUGUUACAAAGUCCGGUACAAAAAGAUGCGAUAUCGCGAGGGGGAGAGAAUCUCAAAAAAACGGUCUCACUUCGGAUUGGGGUCUGCAACUCGACCCCACGAAGUCGGAGUCGCUAGUAUUCGCAGAUCACCACUGCUGCGGGGAAUACGUUUUCGGGCCUUGUGCACACCGCCCGUCACGUCUCGAAAGUCGGUAUCACCCGAAGCCGGUGUGCCACCCCCCUUGUGGGAGGAGCUUCGAAGUGUAAGGCGUAAG